rnacentral:rRNA from 1 species
CCUACGGGGGGCAGCAGUGAGGAAUAUUGGUCAAUGGACGAGAGUCUGAACCAGCCAAGUAGCGUGAAGGAUGACUGCCCUAUGGGUUGUAAACUUCUUUUAUAAAGGAAUAAAACGAGGCACGUGUGCCUUUUUGCAUGUACUUUAUGAAUAAGGAUCGGCUAACUCCGUGCCAGCAGCCGCGGUAAUACGGAGGAUCCGAGCGUUAUCCGGAUUUAUUGGGGUUAAAGGGAGCGUAGAUGGGUUGUUAAGUCAGUUGUGAAAGUUUGCGGCUCAACCGUAAAAUUGCAAUUGAUACUGGCAUUCUUGAGUACAGUUGAGGUAGGCGGAAUUCGUGGUGUAGCGGUGAAAUGCGUAGAUAUCACGAAGAACCCUGAUUGCGAAGGCAGCUUACUAAACUGUGACUGACAUUGAUGCUCGAAAGUGUGGGUAUCAAACAGGAUUAGAUACCCGAGUAGUC